GAUGAAGAACGCAGCGAAAUGCGAUAAGUAAUGCGAAUUGCAGAAUUUCCGUGAGUCAUCGAAUCUUUGAACGCACAUUGCGCCCAUUGGUAUUCCGAUGGGCAUGCCUGUUCGAGCGUCAUUUACCCCUCAAGCACUGCUUGGUGUUGGGCGUCUGUCCCGCUUCGCGCGCGGACUCGCCCCAAAGGUAUUGGCAGCGGUCGUGCCAGCUUCUCGCGCAGCACAUUGCGCUUCUCGAGGCGGUCGAUCGGCGUCCACGAAGCUCACCUCCACCGUUUGACCUCGGAUCAGGUAGGGAUACCCGCUGAACUUAAGCAUAUCAAUAAGCGGAGGA
rnacentral:misc_RNA from 1 species